UACGUAGGGUGCAAGCGUUAAUCGGAAUUACUGGGCGUAAAGCGCGCGCAGGCGGUUAAUUAAGUCAGAUGUGAAAGCCCCGGGCUUAACCUGGGAAUUGCAUCUGAAACUGGUUAGCUAGAGUCUUGUAGAGGGGGGUGGAAUUCCAUGUGUAGCGGUGAAAUGCGUAGAGAUGUGGAGGAACACCGGUGGCGAAGGCGACCCCCUGGACAAGGACUGACGCUCAUGUGCGAAAGCGUGGGGAGCAAACAGG
rnacentral:rRNA from 1 species